rnacentral:tRNA from 1 species
ACCUGGUUGGCUCAUUUGGUGGGAGUGUGUGACUCUUUAAUCUCAGGGUUGUGAGUUUGAGCCCCACAUUGGGUG